rfam:Populus trichocarpa scaffold_4_contig_221, whole genome shotgun sequence.
UCUAGAAUUCGAGAUAUGUGCUGAACACUGAAUAGUGUCUGGGCUGCAGGACAGAUUUCGACUUCUUCGUUGUUGCUAAGAUUUGGACUACCAAACAGCAGAAUUGAGUCUUGGACUCAUCAUAAAUGUUUUAUGCCUAUGUCUUAGAUUUCUAGC